rnacentral:piRNA from 1 species
AAGAUCAUGAGCCGAUAGUGACUGGGC